GACGAACGCUGGCGGCGUGCUUAACACAUGCAAGUCGAACGGAAAGGCCCUUCGGGGUACUCGAGUGGCGAACGGGUGAGUAACACGUGGGUGAUCUGCCCUGCACUUUGGGAUAAGCCUGGGAAACUGGGUCUAAUACCGAAUAGGACCACGCGCUUCAUGGUGUGUGGUGGAAAGCCUUUGCGGUGUGGGAUGGGCCCGCGGCCUAUCAGCUUGUUGGUGGGGUAAUGGCCUACCAAGGCGACGACGGGUAGCCGGCCUGAGAGGGUGACCGGCCACACUGGGACUGAGCUACGGCCCAGACUCCUACGGGAGGCAGCAGUGGGGAAUAUUGCACAAUGGGCGCAAGCCUGAUGCAGCGACGCCGCGUGAGGGAUGACGGCCUUCGGGUUGUAAACCUCUUUCAAUAGGGACGAAGCGCAAGUGACGGUACCUAUAGAAGAAGCACCGGCCAACUACGUG
rnacentral:rRNA from 1 species